UUUUGACAGAGCAACCGUUUCCUAGACCUGAAUGGAUUUCACAACAAUGUCUUCCCUUCCUUCCUAGGACUGCUGCAUAUUUGACUAGUGGACUAUGGACAGGGUAGCUACAAUUUUCAUUUAUCUGUUUGUUGCUGCCAGAAAGUGAAAUGAAAAUGCUUCACGCUUUAUGUUUAGAAAACCCUUAAUAUGUUUUGAGACGCCAAGGAAAUUCGGAAAGCUCUACUUAGCUGAAAGUAGAGUUUGCACCACACAGAACUCUUCAGUGUGGCUAUGCUAAAUCAUUCUAGGAGCAAUACCCCCCCCAAAAAAAAAGUGCAGAGGGGGGAGAAAGAAAGAAAGAAAGAAAGAAAGAAAAGGAACUUCCCCAGGUUCUGAAGAUAUGUCUAUAAAUAGCUGCUACAGAAUGGGAUCCUUCAUGUAGCCUUUAGAAAUAGUCACUCUUUUCAUGUGGCCAUAUGUCUUAUUCUAUUUAAAGAGAACAAUUCUGUUAAAAAACAAACCUGUUUUGGAAGGCAUCCCCCAUUGGAAGGGCUGUCUAGCAAGCCCAGCUUGAAAAUGAAGAACAUUAGAAAAUGCAGCAGGAACCUUGAAGCUGCUCAUCAGGAGCUUCAACCUGGACAGCAGAAUCAGUAGCACACAAGUCUUUUCCUAUGAAGAUGAGAACUAUUGUAUUUCUAUAUUGAUCAAUUGUCUGAAUAUAUAAUUAUCUGAAUAUUUAGAAAACAAAACUUUAAAACCAAAAGACCACAGAAGAGCUAAAUCACUUUAAAAUGGGUGGGUGAUAAAGAUGCUGAAAUUAUUAACGAUUUUCUGUAUCUUGACUCAGGCCGAAUCUGCCCUGCAGAAAUCAUGCGUUUUGACAUGACUAUAAAUGCCAUGCCUCCAUGCUAUGCAAUCCUGGGAUCUGUAGUUUGUUGUGGCACCAGAGCACUCUGACAGAAAAGGCUAAAUAUUUCACAAAACUACAAAUCCCAUAAUUCCAUAGCAUUGAGCCAUAGCAGUUAAAGUGAUGUCAAGACAUUAUUUUUGCAAGGCAGAUUCAGCUUCAAUCAUUAACCAAAACAGAGACUGUGGUAAGGAUAUCAGAAGAAAGAAGACUUGGCAGCUCUGAAGGAACUAGAUAAGAACCUCAAACAUAAAGAUAUAUCAUUGAAUACUAAACUCAAGAUCAUCCGUCCCAUAUUAAUUUUUAUUUCUAUGUACAGAUGUGAAAGUUGGACACUGAAGAAAGCUGGCUGGAGAUAAAAAGUAAGCUCAUCUGAAAUGUGAUGCUGGAGGAGAGUUCUACAAAUGCUGUGGACUGCUAAAAAGAUAAAUAAAUUGGUCUGAGAGCAAAUCAAACAUGGAUUCUCAUCCAAAGCCAAAAUGACUAAACUGAAACUAUGGUGUUUUGGCCACAUCACAUGGGAUGAUGUGAUUCUCUGGAAAGCUGUUAAUACUCAGUAAGGUGGGAGAGACAGUAGGAAAAGAGGAAAGCCAUAUUACAGGUGGACUGAUCUGCUUAAGAAAGCUAUGGCCCUAAGUUUGCAAGACCUGAACAGGGAUGUUAAUAGAAUCUCUAUUAUUCAUAGGUUCUCCAUCAGUGUCGCCAACAAGCCUCAAAGAUAAUUCCCUAAAAUGUUUGUCCAAAACCCGCUGAAUCCCCCCAGAUCACAUGGAAUAUUCAGUCACAAUUCCCAGAAAAUUCC